GACGAACGCUGGCGGCGUGCUUAACACAUGCAAGUCGAACGGAAAGGCCCUGCUUGCAGGGUGCUCGAGUGGCGAACGGGUGAGUAACACGUGGGUGAUCUGCCCCUUACUUUGGGAUAAGCCUGGGAAACUGGGUCUAAUACUGGAUAGGACCAUGCUGUAGGUGGUGUGGUGGAAAGAUUAGUUUCGGUAAGGGAUGAGCUCGCGGCCUAUCAGCUUGUUGGUGGGGUAAUGGCCUACCAAGGCGUCGACGGGUAGCCGGCCUGAGAGGGUGGACGGCAACAUUGGGACUGAGAUACGGCCCAGACUCCUACGGGAGGCAGCAGUGGGGAAUAUUGCACAAUGGGCGCAAGCCUGAUGCAGCGACGCCGCGUGGGGGAUGACGGCCUUCGGGUUGUAAACUCCUUUCAGCCAUGACGAAGCCCUUGUGGUGACGGUAGUGGUAGAAGGAGCACCGGCUAACUACGUG
rnacentral:rRNA from 1 species